rnacentral:rRNA from 1 species
UACGGGGGGAGCAAGCGUUGUUCGGAUUCACUGGGUUUAAAGGGUGCGUAGGUGGGCAAGUAAGUCAGUGGUGAAAUCUCCGGGCUUAACCCGGAAACUGCCAUUGAUACUAUUUGUCUUGAAUACUGUGGAGGUCAGCGGAAUAUGUCAUGUAGCGGUGAAAUGCUUAGAUAUGACAUAGAACACCAAUUGCGAAGGCAGCUGGCUACACAAAUAUUGACACUGAGGCACGAAAGCGUGGGGAUCAAACAGG